AACUUACUAGGGCAAAAUCGCUGAAAAGUGAUGACGCAAAGCUAUAGGGGCUUCUGUCUAUGUACAAAGCCAGCCAGCUACCAUC
rnacentral:ncRNA from 2 species